rnacentral:lncRNA from 1 species
GAGGAGAUGUAGGGGUUGAGAGACGAGCGUUCGAGCGAUAGAUGAUGCAAGCGAUAGGCGACAAAUCGGUUGGCAGGUGAUGGGAGCCGCAAGCAACAUGAGCACCAUGUGAUUCGAGCGAUAGACAAUGGGAGUAGCAAGGAAUGGGAGCAACGCGAGCAGCAUGUGAUGGAUCAACAGGCAAUGCGAGCGACGGUCGAUCAUGAGCAGCGAAUGACGAUGAGGAGCAGGCAAAAGGAAGCAGCG